AUCUGUCCAUUAUUAAAGUACAUAAUUUUUAAAAACAAGAACAAGUAAUUGUAGUAGGUUGACUGCAAUAAUGUUCCCAAUUCUUUACCCCUCCCUGCACCCAUCCCCUUUCCAAGGUAGCUUUGCAGCUCCUCCUAUCAAAGCUGGAGUGUGUUUUUCCCAUCCUUUCUAUCUGGGCUGGCCCUGUGACUUACUUUGGCCAAUACAAAAUGCGGUGGAAAUGCCAGAGUACCAGUUUCAUGCCUUGGCCUCAAGAGGUCACUCUUGUUCAUGCCCACUGUCUACCUACUACCGCCAUGAGAAUAAGCCUGGGCUUGCUGGAGGAUGACAGACCAAGGAGAGGGAAACCCAGCUGUUCCAUCUGAGGCCAUCCUAGACCAACCCAUAGCCAACCAGCAUUCAAACACCUGAGAAAGUCCAGCCAGGAUCAGCAAAGCUUCCAUCCUGAGUCACAGCUGAACCACAAAUACAUUAGUGAGUUCAGCAAGACCAAAAGAGCCACCCGGUCGCCUCACAGACUGAUGAGUCUGUUUUUAGGCAAAGGCUAAAGUGACCGGAGUGUUUGUCCAGUUAGGAGCAGCCACACGGAGUCCCUGCCAAAGGCGUGUCCUUGGCUUCCAGAGUCGAAGAAGAGACGUUCAAGAGCAGCAUUUCCAGCAGCCCACAAUGUUGUAUACACCAACACUGUUCCUUUCUGGGGGCAAAGUUGAAGCUUGGAUCCCCAGCAUUCCAUGUCCCCAGGGAUAAGGAUGAACAACACCAUUUGAAAGCCUCAAAUCAAUAAUAAAAUGUAUUUGUAUUCUUAA